rnacentral:rRNA from 1 species
AUCGAUUCCCUGAGUAGCGGCGAGCGAAACGGGAAGAGCCCAAACCAACGAGCUUGCUUGUUGGGGUUGUAGGACACUCUAUACGGAGUUACAAAGGAAUAGAUUAGACGAAGCAUCUGGAAAGAUGCAUCAAAGAAGGUAAUAAUCCUGUAGUCGAAAAUCUGUUCUCUCUUGAGUGGAUCCUGAGUACGACGGAACACGAGAAAUUCCGUCGGAAUC